rnacentral:rRNA from 1 species
UCCAGACUCCUACGGGAGGCAGCAGUGAGGAAUAUUGGUCAAUGGGCUUACGCCUGAACCAGCCAAGUCGCGUGAGGGAAGACUGCCCUAUGGGUUGUAAACCUCUUUUGUCAGGGAGCAAUUGGCGCUACGUGUAGCGUUAUCGAGAGUACCUGAAGAAAAAGCAUCGGCUAACUCCGUGCCAGCAGCCGCGGUAAUACGGAGGAUGCGAGCGUUAUCCGGAUUUAUUGGGUUUAAAGGGUGCGUAGGCGGAAUAUCAAGUCAGCGGUAAAAAUUCGGGGCUCAACCCCGUCGUGCCGUUGAAACUGCAUCCCUUGAGUGCGCGAGAAGUAUGCGGAAUGCGUGGUGUGGCGGUGAAAUGCAUCGAUAUCGCGCAGAACUCCGAUUGCGAAGGCAGCAUGCCGGCUCCACACUGACGCUGAGGCACGAAAGCGUGGGUAUCGAACAGGAUUAGAUACCCGAGUA